GACGAACGCUGGCGGCGUGCUUAACACAUGCAAGUCGAACGGAAAGGCCCUGCUUUUGUGGGGUGCUCGAGUGGCGAACGGGUGAGUAACACGUGAGUAACCUGCCCUUGACUUUGGGAUAACUUCAGGAAACUGGGGCUAAUACCGGAUAGGAGCUCCUGCUGCAUGGUGGGGGUUGGAAAGUUUCGGCGGUUGGGGAUGGACUCGCGGCUUAUCAGCUUGUUGGUGGGGUAGUGGCUUACCAAGGCUUUGACGGGUAGCCGGCCUGAGAGGGGGACCGGCCACAUGGGGACUGAGAUACGGCCCAGACUCCUACGGGAGGCAGCAGUGGGAAAUAUUGCACAAUGGGCGGAAGCCUGAUGCAGCAACGCCGCGUGCGGGAUGACGGCCUUCGGGUUGUAAACCGCUUUCGCCUGUGACGAAGCGUGAGUGACGGUAAUGGGUAAAGAAGCACCGGCUAACUACGUG
rnacentral:rRNA from 1 species